rnacentral:rRNA from 1 species
UACGUAGGGUGCGAGCGUUGUCCGGAAUUAUUGGGCGUAAAGAGCUCGUAGGCGGUUUGUCGCGUCGACUGUGAAAACCCGAGGCUUAACCUCGGGCCUGCAGUCGAUACGGGCAGACUAGAGUUCGGUAGGGGAGACUGGAAUUCCUGGUGUAGCGGUGAAAUGCGCAGAUAUCGGGAGGAACACCGGUGGCGAAGGCGGGUCUCUGGGCCGAUACUGACGCUGAGGAGCGAAAGCGUGGGGAGCGAACAGG